rnacentral:rRNA from 1 species
UAGGGAAUCUUCCACAAUGGACGAAAGUCUGAUGGAGCAACGCCGCGUGAGUGAAGAAGGGUUUCGGCUCGUUAAAGCUCUGUUGGUAGUGAAGAAAGAUAGAGGUAGUAACUGGCCUUUAUUUGACGGUAAUUACUUAGAAAGUCACGGCUAACUACGUGCC